ensembl:lncRNA
UUCAUUCAUACAAUGUUUAUUGAACGUCCAAUGUUUGCCAGGCACUGUGCAAAAUCACAUAAAAAUGAGGCGGGAGGAGUGCAGUGGACAGGGCGUGCCAGCAGGUCAGGCAUGAGUACAGACAGGCAGAGACACAGACUUCGAAGCCGGACCCCAGUGCUGGAGCUGACGCCUGCUUGCUUGCCUGCUGAGAGCGAGAAUGCACCUGCUAUGGGGGCCUGACCUCACUGUGGACACCCACCGUGGGAGCACCAGUCUUCCCCCGGUCCCCAGGGUGUGGAAGCCAGGGGCCUUUGUAGCCCCACAUUGCCCGGAGUUGGAUACAAACAUCCCAAGAGCUAGGGGUGCCUCUACUGGCUGGAAGGUAACUGUUCCAUUUCCCCAGCAUGAACUCAGAAAGCUUCAGCCAGGCACAGGCACGUCCCAGGGAAAAGCUGGCUGAGGGCUUCCCUAAUGCAGGUGUGUUUCCUCCUGGCCCCUGUCCCAGGCAGCCACCAGCACUGGCAUCGAAGGCUUAAGGAAAAUAGGGAAAGAAAGCAUUUGCCCCUCUACUUUCUUCCCUCCCAGGCAUAACUUGGACGACACCUGGACACUGGGGUUGGCCUUAGCUGACCUCAUGACCCAGGACCCAGGUCUCCCCCAGGUGCCCCAGGAAUUAGAAGCUAGGACCCUCUCUCUUCCAAGGCCCAGCAGCCUCUGCCAUCAUUUUCCAGCCCAGGCUCAUUCAGGAAAGCCUCUGGGUCUAAUGGUAAAAUCAUCCAAAGUGCCCACAACCGGGUUGCCCACAUGCUCGGUGAGGCGUUCAGCCGCCCCUGGCACCUCUCCCACCAUCCUCCAAGAGGCACGAUGACAGCUCCAUGCAGCCCUGUAUCAGCCUCGCAGCCGCCGCCUCCUGCCCGCCCAUCCCACCACUGCCUAGGGUGAAGGAUCAGUGCUCAAGAGUCCCACAUGGUCCCCACCCUGUCCCCUCUCUCGACUCGGACCCCCAAGCCCUCCCGUUUUGAGGUCACACACUCCCCUCCCCUCCCCUCUUCCCUGAGCAACCCCUCCACCUCCGCCUGGGCUGCAACCCAGGCCCAUGGGCAGGUGUUAGCCAUCCUGCCUUCCUUUGCAGGUUUCUGGGUCAAGACUGACCUGCCUCUUGCUCACUGCACUCCUGCCAUGGUAUGCCCUGUCUCCUGCGUCUGUCCCAUCUGCUGCUAACUCAAGGUCCUCCCUUCCGAGUCAUCCCACGUCUCCAGCCCAGAAGGCUCUUCCCUUCUCUGCUUGGUGUCUCAAAGUCAACAUCUUCUUCUCCCUGGUUUCCUGCUGUUGGUACACAGCCCUCUCUACCCACUGGGCUGUCCAAGUCAAGGGGCAGGAAUCCUCCAGGCUUCUCCCCCAGCUUACCUCCCAAACCAGUCAACCCCACCACCUGCACAGCUGCCAGGCGCCCUGCUGUCCAACCCUCUGCUGCUGGCCCUAGCCCAGGCUCAGCUCCUCCACUUGCAUCCACCUCUGUCCAUUGGGAUCCCCUCCAAGCUGGCCUCGCUACCCCGGAGGGCAUGAUCUUCCCAAAACACGAAGCGCACGGCCAUGCCCCUUCCCUGGGAAAGUUCGCCUGCCUUCCCAUGGGAUGAUAAGUCCUUCCCACUGCACACCUGAGCUGUGGGAUUUCCUGCAGUUUCCCAGACCAGCGGGGCCCCCACAGCGUGAGGCUCUGCACCCAUGGCCAGUGCCUUAUCUUCUUCAUCUUCACCUCCCCGCCUCCUUCGUGUGCCUUGACACCCUUCACUUUUCCUAGUGCACCCUCAUCAGACUUGUCUUCAGGGCUGACCGGCACCCCCAUGACUCUACCUGAGUUCCAAGGGGACAGAGCCCAUCCCUGCAUCCUGCCUUCCACAUUGCAGACUGCACGUGCCAUGGACCGGGAUGGCACAGGUCUCAGCCUUUGAACAGCAUCUUCAGUUGAUUUUCACAGUG